UACGUAGGGACCAAGCGUUGUCCGGAAUCAUUGGGCGUAAAGCGCGCGUAGGCGGCCCGGUAAGUCCGUUGUAAAAGUCGAAGGCUCAACCUUCGAAAGCCGAUGGAUACUGCCGGGCUAGAGUACGGAAGAGGCGAGUAGAAUUCCUGGUGUAGCGGUGGAAUGCGCAGAUAUCAGGAGGAAUACCCAUAGCGAAGGCAGCUCGCUGGGACGUUACUGACGCUGAGGAGCGAAAGCGUGGGGAGCAAACAGG
rnacentral:rRNA from 1 species